rnacentral:sRNA from 1 species
GCCAUGUUGAUUUCUGAUCCUUGAGCUUUUCUGUGUUUCUCUGUUCAUUCUUCAUGGCAUCCUUGGAAGGAUGCCAAGCUAAGGAGGCCAGGGGGGAAUAAAAGGAGUCCAGGCUCCCAACUGUGCCCUUCCCCUCUCCCCUGGGAGCCACCACUGAGGGUCCUCACGGUUCCUCCAGUCUGGACUCUGCUGCUUCUGGUGGGGGCUGCCCUUUUCAGGAAAGAGAAGCCUACGGACCAGAAGCUGGUUGUUCGCAGCUCUAGGGACAACUAUGUCCUCACCCAGUGUGAUUUUGAGGAUGACGCCAAACCCCUCUGUGACUGGUCCCAAGUGUCCGCAGACGAUGGAGACUGGGUUCGAGCCAGUGGGCCCUCUCCCACCGGCUCCACCGGGGCCCCCGGGGGGUACCCUAACGGAGAGGGCAGCUAUCUGCAUAUGGAAUCGAACAGCUUCCACCGUGGGGGAGUGGCCCGCCUGCUCAGCCCCGACCUAUGGGAGCAAGGCCCCCUCUGUGUGCACUUUGCCUACCACAUGUUCGGGCUGUCUUGGGGCGCCCAGCUCAGGCUGCUGCUGCUCUCAGGUGAAGAGGGCCGCCGCCCCGAUGUGCUCUGGAAACACUGGAACACCCAGAGACCCUCCUGGAUGCUCACCACCGUCACUGUGCCCACAGGGUUCACCCUGCCCACCCGGCUGAUGUUUGAGGGAACACGGGGUAGCACUGCCUACCUGGACAUCGCCCUGGACGCCCUCUCUAUCCGCCGGGGCUCCUGUAAUCGUGUCUGUAUGAUGCAAACAUGCAGCUUUGACAUUCCAAAUGACCUCUGUGACUGGACCUGGAUCCCAACUGCCUCCGGGGCCAAGUGGACUCAGAAGAAAGGGUCAUCAGGAAAGCCAGGCGUGGGGCCUGAUGGCGACUUCUCUAGCCCUGGUAGUGGCCGCUACAUGCUCCUGGACCCCAAGAAUGCAAGACCUGGGCAGAAAGCUGUCCUCCUGAGCCCCGUGAGCCUGUCCUCUGGCUGUCUGAGCUUUUCCUUCCACUACAUCCUCCGGGGCCAGUCUCCUGGUGCAGCCCUCCACAUUUAUGCUUCAGUCUUGGGGAGUAUCCGGAAACACACUCUCUUCUCAGGACAACCUGGGCCCAACUGGCAGGCUGUUUCUGUCAAUUACACAGCCGUGGGACGGAUACAGUUUGCCGUGGUAGGCGUUUUUGGAAAGACCCCAGAGCCAGCUAUGGCAGUUGAUGCAACCAGCAUUGCUCCUUGUGGGGAGGGUUUUCCUCAGUGUGACUUUGAAGACAACGCCCAUCCCUUCUGUGACUGGGUCCAGACUUCCGGGGAUGGUGGACACUGGGCCCUCGGACAUAAAAAUGGACCCAUCCAUGGCAUGGGCCCUGCGGGAGGUUUCCCUAAUGCAGGGGGUCACUAUAUCUACCUUGAGGCUGACGAGUUCUCCCAGGCAGGCCAGUCAGUCAGACUGGUGAGCCGGCCCUUCUGUGCCCCAGGUGACAUCUGCGUGGAGUUUGCAUACCACAUGUAUGGCCUUGGGGAGGGUACUAUGCUCGAACUCCUCCUGGGAAGUCCUGCGGGGAGUCCCCCGAUUCCUCUCUGGAAACACGUGGGGUCUCAGCGCCCUUACUGGCAGAACACCUCCGUCACCGUCCCCUCAGGACACCAACAGCCCAUGCAGCUUAUUUUCAAGGCCAUCCAGGGAAGCAACACGGCCUCUGUGGUUGCUAUGGGUUUCAUCUUGAUCAAUCCUGGGACUUGUCCAGUAAAAGUGCUACCAGAGCUUCCUCCCGUAUCUCCAGUUUCUUCCACUGGCCCUUCUGAAACCACUGGCCUCACAGAAAACCCUACAAUCUCCACCAAGAAACCUACAGUUUCCAUAGAAAAACCCAGUGUCACCACAGAAAAGCCCACAGUCCCCAAAGAAAAGCCCACCAUUCCCACAGAAAAACCCACCAUCUCCACAGAAAAACCCACCAUUCCUUCAGAAAAACCCAACAUGCCCUCAGAAAAACCCACCAUUCCCUCAGAAAAACCUACCAUCCUCACAGAAAAACCCACCAUUCCCUCAGAAAAACCCACCAUUCCCUCAGAAAAACCCACCAUUUCCACAGAAAAACCCACCGUCCCCACAGAAGAGCCCACCACCCCCACUGAGGAGACCACCACCUCCAUGGAAGAGCCUGUCAUCCCUACAGAAAAACCCAGCAUCCCCACGGAAAAACCCACCAUCUCCAUGUAAGAGACUAUCAUCUCCACAGAAAAACCCACCAUCUCCCCAGAAAAACCCACCAUCUCCAUAGAAAAACCCACCAUCUCUCCAGAAAAACCCACCAUCCCCACAGAAAAACCCACCAUCCCCACAGAAAAACCCACCAUCUCCCCAGAAAAACCCACCACCCCCACAGAAAAACCCACCAUCCCCACAGAAAAACCCACCAUCUCCCCAGAAAAACCCACCAUCCCCACAGAAAAACCCACCAUCCCCACAGAAAAACCCACCAUCUCCACAGAAGAGCCCACCACCCCCACUGAGGAGACCACCAUCUCCACAGAAGAGCCUGCCAUCCCCACAGAAAAACCCAGCAUCCCCAUGGAAAAACCCACUCUCCCCACUGAAGAAACCACCACCUCUGUUGAAGAGACUACCAUCUCCACAGAAAAACUCACCAUCCCCAUGGAAAAACCCACCAUCUCCACAGAAAAACCCACCAUCCCCACAGAAAAACCCACCAUCUCCCCAGAAAAACUCACCAUCCCCACGGAAAAACUCACCAUCCCCAUGGAAAAACCCACCAUCCCCAUUGAAGAGACUACCAUCUCCACAGAAAAACUCACCAUCCCCACAGAGAAAUCCACCAUCUCCCCAGAAAAACCCACCAUCUCCAUGGAAAAACCCACCACCCCCACAGAAAAACCCACCAUCCCCAUUGAAGAGACUACCAUCUCCACAGAAAAACUCACCAUCCCCACAGAAAAACCCACCAUCUCCCCAGAAAAACCCACCAUCUCCACGGAAAAACCCACCAUCCCCACGGAAAAACCCACCAUCCCCACUGAAGAGACUACCAUUUCCACAGAAAAACUCACCAUCCCCACAGAAAAACCCACCAUCUCCCCAGAAAAACCCACCAUCUCCCCAGAAAAGCUCACAGCCCUGAGGCCACCCCAUCCCAGCCCCACAGCCACUGGGCUGGCAGCCUUGGUGAUGUCUCCACAUGCUCCAAGUGCCCCUAUGACCAGUGUGAUUCUGGGCACUACCACAACCUCCAGAUCCAGUACAGAGCGCUGCCCUCCAAAUGCCCGCUACGAAUCCUGUGCUUGUCCUGCUUCGUGCAAGAGCCCCAGGCCUAGCUGUGGGCCCCUCUGUCGGGGGGGCUGUGUCUGCAACCCUGGCUUUUUGUUUAGUGACAACCACUGCAUCCAGGCCUCUUCCUGCAAUUGCUUCUACAACAACGACUACUAUGAGCCUGGGGCAGAGUGGUUCAGCCCCAACUGCACAGAACAUUGCCGCUGCUGGCCGGGCAGUCGGGUCGAGUGCCAGAUCUCUCAGUGUGGGACACACACCGUGUGCCAGCUUAAGAAUGGCCAGUAUGGAUGCCACCCCUACGCAGGCACUGCCACCUGCUUGGUCUACGGAGACCCUCAUUAUGUCACCUUUGACGGGAGGCACUUUGGCUUCAUGGGCAAGUGCACUUACAUCUUGGGCCAGCCCUGUGGCAACUCAACAGACCCAUUCUUCAGGGUGACAGCCAAGAAUGAGGAGCAGGGACAGGAAGGCAUGUCCUGCCUGAGCAAAGUCUACAUGACCCUGCCCGAGAGCACCGUCACCCUGCUUAAGGGCAGACGCACUCUGGUUGGGGGUCAGCAAGUUACUCUCCCAGCCAUACCCUCUAAAGGCGUCUUCCUGGGUGCAAGCGGGCGGUUUGUGGAGCUGCAGACGGAGUUCGGUUUGUGGGUGAGAUGGGAUGGUGACCAGCAGCUGUAUGUUACUGUGUCCAGCACCUACUCUGGCAAACUCUGUGGUUUGUGUGGGAACUAUGAUGGCAACAGUGACAAUGACCACCUGAAGUCAGACGGCAGCCCAGCAGGAGACAAGGAGGAGCUGGGGAACAGCUGGCAGACGGACCAGGACGAGGACCAGGAGUGUCAGAAGUACCAGGUGGUGAAUUCCCCGUCUUGUGAUUCAUCUCUGCAGAGCAGCAUGUCGGGGCCAGGGUUCUGUGGACGGCUGGUCGACACUCAUAGCCCAUUUGAGACAUGCCUGCUGCACGUGAAGGCCACUUCCUUCUUCGACAGCUGCAUGCUUGAUAUGUGCGGAUUCCAGGGGCUGCAGCACCUGCUAUGCACACACAUGUCCACCAUGACCACCACCUGCCAGGACGCAGGCCACGCCGUGAAGCCCUGGAGGGAACCCCACUUCUGCCCAAUGGCCUGCCCGCCCAACAGCAAGUACUCCCUGUGUGCGAAGCCAUGCCCUGACACCUGCCAUUCAGGAUUCUCCGGCAUGUUCUGCUCAGACCGGUGCGUGGAGGCCUGUGAAUGCAAUCCGGGCUUCGUCCUCAGUGGCCUCGAGUGCAUACCUCGCUCCCAGUGUGGAUGCCUCCACCCUGCAGGCAGCUACUUCAAGGUAGGGGAGUGGUGGUACAAGCCAGGCUGCAAAGAGUUGUGCGUCUGUGAAAGCAACAACAGAAUUCGCUGCCAGCCCUGGAGGUGUAGGGCCCAGGAGUUCUGUGGCCAACAGGAUGGUAUCUAUGGCUGCCAUGCCCAAGGUGCCGCCACCUGCACAGCCUCGGGUGACCCCCACUACCUGACCUUCGAUGGCGCCUUGCACCACUUCAUGGGCACCUGCACCUAUGUCCUGACCCGGCCUUGCUGGUCCAGGUCCCAAGACAGCUAUUUUGUUGUGAGCGCCACCAACGAGAACCGCGGGGGGAACCUGGAGGUCUCCUAUAUCAAAGCCGUCCACGUGACAGUCUUUGACCUCAGCAUCUCACUGCUCAGAGGCUGUAAGGUCAUGCUGAAUGGCCAUCGGGUGGCCCUACCUGUGUGGCUUGCACAAGGCCGGGUGACCAUAAGGCUCAGCAGCAACUUCGUCCUCCUCUACACGAACUUUGGGCUCCAAGUUCGCUACGACGGGAGCCACUUGGUGGAAGUGACAGUCCCCUCCUCCUAUGGCGGCCAGCUCUGUGGGCUGUGUGGGAACUACAACAACAACAGCUUGGAUGACAACCUGCGCCCCGACAGAAAGCCUGCAGGCGAUUCCGUGCAGCUUGGGGCCGCCUGGAAGUUACCUGAAUCCUCUGAACCUGGCUGUUUCCUUGUGGGUGGCAAGCCCUCCAGCUGCCAGGAGAACAGCAUGGCAGACGCCUGGAACAAGAACUGUGCGAUCUUAAUAAACCCUCAGGGACCCUUCUCUCAAUGUCACCAGGUGGUGCCUCCCCAGUCCAGCUUUGCCAGUUGCGUGCAUGGUCAGUGUGGGACCAAGGGCGACACCACAGCCCUGUGCCGCUCCCUGCAGGCCUACGCGUCCCUGUGUGCCCAGGCUGGCCAGGCCCCUGCCUGGCGGAACAGAACCUUCUGCCCUAUGAGGUGCCCACCUGGCAGCAGCUACAGCCCCUGCGGCAGUCCCUGCCCAGCCACCUGCAGCAGCAUAAACAACCCGAGGGACUGCCCCAAAGCACUGCCCUGUGCUGAGAGCUGUGAAUGUCAGAAAGGCCACAUCUUGAGUGGAACCUCCUGCGUGCCCCUUGGCCAGUGUGGCUGCACUGACCCAGUGGGCUCCUACCACCCGGUCGGGGAGCGCUGGUACACAGAGAACACCUGCACCAGGCUCUGCACCUGCUCCGUCCACAACAACAUCACCUGCUUCCAGAGCACCUGCAAACCCAACCAGAUAUGCUGGGCCCUGGAUGGGCUGCUCCGUUGUCGGGCCUCAGGUAUGGGAGUGUGUCAGCUCCCAGGGGAGUCCCACUACGUGAGCUUUGAUGGUAGUAACCAUUCUAUCCCGGACGCCUGCACUCUUGUCCUGGUGAAAGUGUGCCACCCCGCCAUGGCCUUGCCCUUCUUCAAGAUCAGUGCCAAGCAUGAGAAGGAGGAAGGUGGAACUGAGGCUUUCCUCCUUCAUGAGGUCUACAUUGACAUCUACGAUGCCAAGGUCACCCUGCAGAAGGGCCACCGUGUGCUGAUCAACAGCAAACAGGUCAUCCUCCCCGCCAUCUCCCAGAUCCCUGGGGUCAGUGUCAAGUCCAGCAGCAUCUACACCAUUGUUAACAUCAAGAUCGGGGUGCAAGUCAAGUUUGACGGGAAUCAUCUCUUAGAGAUUGAAAUCCCCACAACCUACUAUGGAAAGGUCUGCGGCAUGUGUGGGAACUUCAAUGAUGAGGAAGAGGACGAACUAAUGAUGCCCAGCGAUGAAGUAGCAAAUAGUGACGGUGAAUUUGUGAACAGUUGGAAAGAUAAGGACAUUGACCCAAGUUGUCAGAGUCUCCCGGUAGAUGAGCAGCAGAUUCCAGCGGAACAGCAGGAGAACCCGAGUGGAAACUGCAGGGCGGCCGACCUCCGCAGGGCGCGGGAAAAGUGCGAGGCAGCGCUCCAGGCUCCUGUGUGGGCCCAGUGCGCCUCCCGCAUAGACCUCACGCCCUUCCUGGUGGACUGUGCAAACACCCUCUGUGAGUUGGGAGGUCUCUACCAGGCCCUCUGCCAGGCUCUGCAAGCCUUCGGGGCCACCUGCCAGAGCCAGGGGCUCAAGCCCCCACUCUGGAGAAACAGCAGCUUCUGCCCUCUGGAAUGCCCUGCCUGCAGCAGCUACACCAACUGCCUUCCCUCCUGCUCGCCCUCCUGCUGGGACCUGGAUGGCCGGUGUGAGGGCGCCAAAGUCCCCUCUGCCUGCGCUGAGGGCUGCAUUUGUCAGCCCGGCUAUGUGCUGAGUGAAGACAAGUGUGUCCCCAGAAGUCAGUGCGGCUGCAAGGAUGCCCAUGGUGGCUCCAUCCCUCUGGGCAAGAGCUGGGUCUCCAGCGGUUGCACGGAGAAGUGUGUCUGCACGGGAGGAGCCAUUCAGUGCGGGGACUUCCGAUGCCCCUCUGGGUCCCACUGCCAGCUCACUUCCGACAACAGCAACAGCAAUUGUGUCUCAGACAAGUCUGAACAAUGCUCAGUCUAUGGGGACCCCCGUUACCUCACAUUUGACGGCUUCAGCUACCGCUUCCAAGGCCGCAUGACCUAUGUUCUGAUCAAGACUGUGGACGUACUGCCUGAGGGGGUGGAGCCCCUCCUCGUGGAAGGACACAACAAGAUGGAUCCGCCCAGGAGCUCCAUCUUCUUGCAGGAAGUGAUUACCACCGUCUACGGCUAUAAAGUGCAGCUCCAAGCUGGUCUGGAGCUUGUGGUCAACAACCAGAAGAUGGCCGUCCCCUACAGGCCAAAUGAACACCUGCGGGUCAUGCUGCGGGGCCAACGGCUCUACCUGGUCACCGACUUUGAGCUGGUCGUCAGCUUUGGUGGAAGGAAAAAUGCAGUGAUCUCCCUACCCAGCAUGUACGAGGGGCUUGUGCGUGGCCUGUGCGGAAACUACGACAAGAACCGCAAGAAUGACAUGAUGCUGCCCAGUGGCGCCCUGACCCAGAACCUCAACACCUUUGGCAACAGCUGGGAGGUGAAGACCGAGGACGCACUCCUCCGCCUCCCCAGGGCUAUACCAGCGGAGGAGGAGGGACAAGGGGCAGAGCUGGGCCUCCGCACGGGCCUCCACGUGUCCGAAUGUAACCCGGAGCAGCUGGCGAGCAACAGCACCCAGGCCUGUAGGGUGCUGGCAGACCCCCAGGGCCCCUUUGCUGCCUGUCACCAGACGGUGGCCCCAGAGCCCUUCCAAGAGCACUGCGUGCUGGAUCUGUGCUCUGCUCAGGACCCAAGAGAGCAAGAGGAGCUGCGUUGCCAGGUCCUCAGCGGGUACGCCAUCCUCUGCCAGGAGGCGGGUGCUGCCCUGGCUGGCUGGCGGGACCGCACCCUCUGCGCCAUGGAGUGUCCAGCAGGUACCAUGUAUCAGAGCUGUAUGACACCCUGCCCAGCGUCCUGUGCCAACCUGGCAGACCCUGGGGACUGCGAGGGCCCCUGCGUGGAAGGCUGCGCCAGCAUCCCAGGCUAUGCCUACAGCGGCACCCAGAGCCUCCCCCUGGCUGACUGUGGCUGCACCAGCAAUGGCAUCUACUACCAGGUCCGAGCUGGCAGCAGGAGGCCCUGGGGAGCAGAGGCGCCAAGGAGAGCCAGACCAGGGAUGGAACCGGAACGUCUCCUCCUGGCCCUUCCCCUUUCUAGCUGGGCAGCAGCUUUCUGACUGAGGACUGCUCUCAGCGGUGCACCUGUGCCAGCUCACGGAUCCUGCUGUGUGAGCCCUUCAGCUGCAGAGCGGGGGAGGUCUGCACCCUGGGGAACCACACCCAAGGCUGCUUUCCAGAAAGCCCGUGUCUGCAGAACCCCUGUCAGAAUGACGGGCAGUGUCGGGAGCAGGGAGCCACCUUCACCUGCGAGUGUGAAGUUGGUUACGGGGGAGACCUCUGUAUGGAGCCUCGAGAUGUGCCACCUCCCAGAAAGCCAGCAUCUAACCUGGUGGCCGUCCUACUGGGACUGCUGGUGCCUGUGGUGGUCGUACUACUGGCCGUGACCAGAGAGUGCAUUUACAGAACGAGGAGGAAGAGAGAGAAAACGCAGGAGGGAGACAGACUGGCCAGGCUGGUGGACACAGAUACUGUUCUGGACUGUGCCUGUUAAGUUGCUCAGUUUUGAGCUGUCUUCAGACAAGAAGAUUAAAUAAAUUUAUAUAUUUAUUUAUUUGA